AACGAACGCUGGCGGCAGGCUUGACACAUGCAAGUCGAACGCUCGUAGCAAUACGGGAGUGGCAGACGGGUGAGUAACGCGUGGGAACGUGCCCAAAGGUACGGAACAACUCCGGGAAACUGGAGCUAAUACCGUAUGUGCCCGAAAGGGGAAAGAUUUAUCGCCUUUGGAUCGGCCCGCGUCGGAUUAGCUAGUUGGUGGGGUAAUGGCCUACCAAGGCGACGAUCCGUAGCUGGUCUGAGAGGAUGAUCAGCCACACUGGGACUGAGACACGGCCCAGACUCCUACGGGAGGCAGCAGUGGGGAAUAUUGGACAAUGGGCGCAAGCCUGAUCCAGCCAUGCCGCGUGAGUGAUGAAGGCCUUAGGGUUGUAAAGCUCUUUCGCCAGGGACGAUAAUGACGGUACCUGGAUAAGAAGCCCCGGCUAACUUCGUGCCAGCAGCCGCGGUAA
rnacentral:rRNA from 1 species